AUUUUUUGUAUUUUUAGUAGAGACAGGGUUUCACCUUGUUAGCCAGGAUGGUCUCGAUCUCCUGACCUCAUGAUCCACCCGCCUCGGCCUCCCAAAGUGCUGGGAUUACAGGCGUGAGCCACCGCGCCCGGCCGGUGAUGACUCUUAACAAGCGUGCUGCCUUCAAGCAUUUGUUUAACAAAGCACACCCUGCACAACCCUUAAUCCAUCUAACCCUGACUUGACACAGCACAUGUUUCAGGGAGCACAGGGUUGGGGGUAGGGUUACAGAUUAACAGCAGCUCGAGGCAGAAGAAUUUUUCUUAGUACAGAACAAAAUGGAGUCUCCUAUGUCUACUUCCUUCUACACAGACACAGUAACAAUCUGAUCUCUCUUUCUUUUCCCCACAUUCAGAGGGAUGGUGGAGGUUUACAUCAGAGCCCAGCAAACCACUGAUUACUGAAGAUAAGACAUCCUUGCUUUGGGAAGUCUUCAUUUUUCACAGGAGGCCUUUUCCUGUGGCCUCCCCCUUCCCACCAUGGCGCUCAACUCCUUCUUUUUCCUCUAACCAUCUCCCUGUUCUCUCUGUGUCUUGUCCAUACCCUCCAAUUCCUACCGACGGCCUCCCCAGAGCAGUGUCACUGCUCCCCUCUCUGACUCCAGAGCACACCCUCAGGUCUCCACACCCAAAGCAACCUAUCAAGGGGCUUCCCUAAACAUGGUCAUCUUUUUUCUCAGAGGAACACUACCAAGUAAAUGUUGCAAUAACAAUUCUUUUACCCCCAUACUUGAUACUUACAAAAACCCGGUGGGAAAUUUCCCCCCACGAGGCUGAGAGAGGAUAGGGGACUUCCGCAAAGCCACAAAGAGUCCAUGGCAGGGCCCCAGUGAGAGGUCAGUUCGGACUCCCAGUCCCGUGCUCCUGUCCUCCCCAUCUGCUCUGCCUACAGAACCCUGGAAUGGCGAUUUCUGGCGUGCUGCUGGUCUUCUGCCUCCUGGAGUUUGGCAUCGCAUGCGCAUCUUCCCACUUUGGCUGCCAGUUGGUCUGCUGUCAAUCAAGCAAUGUGAGUGUCAUCUAUCCAAACAUCUAUGCAGCAAACCCAGUGAUCACCCCAGAACCGGUGACCUCACCACCAAGUUAUUCCAGUGAGAUCCAAGCAAAUAAGUAAGGCUACAGAUUCUGGAAGCAUCUUUCACUGGGACCAAAAGAAGUCCUCCUCCCUUUCUGGGCUUCCAUAACCCAGGUCGUUCCUGUUCUGACAGCUGAGGAAACGUCUCUCCCACUGUUUGUACUCUCACCUUCAUUCUUCAAUUCAGUCUAGGAAACCAUGCUGUUUCUCUAUCAAGAAGAAGACAGAGAUUUUAAACAGAUGUUAACCAAGAGGGACUCCCUAGGGCACAUGCAUCAGCACAUAUGUGGGCAUCCAGCCUCUGGGGCCUUGGCACACACACAUUCGUGUGCUCUGCUGCAUGUGAGCUUGUGGGUUAGAGGAACAAAUAUCUAGACAUUCAAUCUUCACUCUUUCAAUUGUGCAUUCAUUUAAUAAAUAGAUACUGAGC
rnacentral:lncRNA from 10 species